CAUAACCAGUAAUAAAAUCUUCCCAGAAUAUUUUGUGAUAUCCCCGUCUAGAAAAAUCCCCUCAAAUAUCGCUUGUGCAUAAAUACGUGUCCAUACGUUUAAAGAUUUUAGAAAGAAAACAAAAUAAAAACAGAAAUGAAAGUCGCUUUGAUUAUUUUACUCUUAACUAUCAGCAUGGUGGCUGUCACCCAUUCAUGUCAUUUGGAGGACUACGCUUUAUGUGAUGUUUUAUAUAAAAGAAUGUGUAAAAUAAAAGACUGUAGGAGACAAUGUGCAAGAAAUGUGGCCAGUCAUAAAGCUCGCUGUGAAAGUGGUAUUUGCAAAUGUUAUCGAUAAAGCAUCGAAAAAUUUUAAAUUUAAUUAUUGAUUAUAUUACUACGUUUAUUAUUAUUAAAAACUAUUUAUUAAUGAG